GCUUGACUUCAUUUAUCUCUGCUCCUCGUCUAUGGCACUAUAGAAUUCACUGUGUGUUGUGUUGCCAUGGUAACAGCUGGUUCUACAGUGCCAUUGCAUGAUGGGUAGAAACAUUCAUGUUUGUCAUU
rnacentral:precursor_RNA from 15 species